CGAGCGAGCGUAUUAGCGGAAGUUUUCGGAUGGAAGCGGAUAUGACUUAUCGGCGGACGGGUGAGUAACGCGUGGAUAACCUGCCUCAUACAGGGGGAUAACAGUUAGAAAUGACUGCUAAUACCGCAUAAGCGCACAGGACCGCAUGGUCCGGUGUGAAAAACUCUGGUGGUAUGGGAUGGAUCCGCGUCUGAUUAGCUGGUUGGUGAGGUAACGGCCCACCAAGGCGACGAUCAGUAGCCGACCUGAGAGGGUGGCCGGCCACAUUGGGACUGAGACACGGCCCAAACUCCUACGGGAGGCAGCAGUGGGGAAUAUUGCACAAUGGGGGAAACCCUGAUGCAGCAACGCCGCGUGAGUGAAGAAGUAUUUCGGUAUGUAAAGCUCUAUCAGCAGGGAAGAAGAAAGACGGUACCUGACUAAGAAGCCCCGGCUAACUACGUGCCAGCAGCCGCGGUAAUACGUAGGGGGCAAGCGUUAUCCGGAUUUACUGGGUGUAAAGGGAGCGUAGACGGCUGUGCAAGUCUGAAGUGAAAGCCCGUGGCUCAACCGCGGAACUGCUUUGGAAACUGUAUAGCUUGAGUACUGGAGAGGCAGGCGGAAUUCCUAGUGUAGCGGUGAAAUGCGUAGAUAUUAGGAGGAACACCAGUGGCGAAGGCGGCCUGCUGGACAG
rnacentral:rRNA from 1 species